AUGGGUGAUUAGAGAAAGGAAAAAUUGGGCGAUUUUUUGGAGGAAAACAGAGCGCCUAAGAAAGGGAAAAAUCGGGUUUGAUAGGCCAGAAGAGAUUAGAGAGGUUUGAGAGAGAGAGAGAGGAAGAGGUGAGUUUGAGAAGAGAAACAGAGGAGACCUUUCUGGAUUUUUUUUUUUGGGGGCAAAAAUUUGGGAGAGGAGACGGCUUGAGUGAAGAGAAGUUGAGGAUUGAAUGAGAAUCCAAAAAGUAGAGCGAGAUUGUGAGCAUGGAAGAGCCUUGAGGUUGUGUGCGAUGUCAGAAGAUGGUGAAGCGAAAAAGGAAGAGUUCUGGGAUUUGCAGCUGCUUUCAGGUUUCCGCUAGCUUUGAUCUCUCCUGUUGGUAAAUUCUCCAGAGGAUCUAAUGGGUUCUGAUCUUCCUGUUAGCAAGAAAGACUGUAAAUUCCAUGGAGAAAAGACUGAAAAGUUACAGUAAAACUGGAUAAAAUAGUAGCUAACCGCAUAUAUUCUCCUAGAUUCCAGUAGAGUUGCUGUUAUUUCAUCAAAGUCUGAAUUGAUACAACGGAGGAAGUGAUCUGAAGGAUUCCUCCGACUUGGACAAGGAAAUCCUGCUUCAGCAAAGAACUGCAAGAUUCAUGCAGCCAAGAUUGAUACCAGACUCAGUUGGAACAUGCUGAAUAUGCAAAGAAGGCAACCAACUAUUGUACAAAAUAAGCACUCUUGCAUUGAGGUGAUGCUUUUAUUGAUAAGAAACUAUCCAUCUCAUACCUUUGCAGCCAUGGCUGCUGCUCCAAAGUAAACAGUCUCACCGCCAGAAAGGAGAAAUAGAUCUUCGAAGAGCGCAAAGACUUCACCACUGGG